AAUCAACGCUGGCGGCGUGCCUAACACAUGCAAGUCGAACGCGAGAGGGGCUUCGGCUCCGAUUGAGUGGCGAACGGGUGAGUAACACGUGGGUGACCUACCUUCGAGUGGGGGAUAACGUCCCGAAAGGGACGCUAAUACCGCAUAACAUCCUGCCUUUGAACAGGCGGAGAUCAAAGCCGGGGAUCGCAAGACCUGGCGCUUGAUGAGGGGCCCGCGUCUGAUUAGCUAGUUGGUGAGGUAACGGCCCACCAAGGCGACGAUCAGUAUCCGGCCUGAGAGGGCGGACGGACACACUGGGACUGAGACACGGCCCAGACUCCUACGGGAGGCAG
rnacentral:rRNA from 1 species